rnacentral:rRNA from 2 species
GAUUAAGUUAUUAAGGGCGCACGGUGGAUGCCUUGGCACUAGAAGCCGAUGAAGGACGUUACUAACGACGAUAUGCUUUGGGGAGCUG